AGAGUUUGAUCAUGGCUCAGGAUGAACGCUAGCUACAGGCUUAACACAUGCAAGUCGAGGGGCAGCAUGAUUGAAGCUUGCUUCAAUUGAUGGCGACCGGCGCACGGGUGAGUAACGCGUAUCCAACCUUCCGUACACUCAGGGAUAGCCUUUCGAAAGAAAGAUUAAUACCUGAUGGUAUGAUGAGAUUGCAUGAUAGCAUCAUUAAAGAUUUAUCGGUGUACGAUGGGGAUGCGUUCCAUUAGGUAGUAGGCGGGGUAAUGGCCCACCUAGCCGACGAUGGAUAGGGGUUCUGGAGAGGAACGGUCCCCCACGAUUGGAACUGACGACACGGUCCAAACUCCGUACGGGAGGCA
rnacentral:rRNA from 1 species